rnacentral:rRNA from 1 species
AAAGUUUGAUCCUGGCUCAGAACGAACGCUGGCGGCGUGCCUAACAYAUGCAAGUCGAACGGGAAAGCCCGCAAGGGUGAGUACAGUGGCGCACGGGUGCGUAACACGUGGGUAAUCUGCCCAGAAGCCCGGAAUAACUCCCCGAAAGGGGUGCUAAUGCCGGAUGAGACCACGGGGACUUCGGUUCCUGGGGGAAAAGGUGGCCUCUGUAUACAAGCUAUCACUUCUGGAUGAGCCCGCGGCCCAUCAGCUAGUUGGCGGGGUAAUGGCCCACCAAGGCUACGACGGGUAGCUGGUCUGAGAGGACGAUCAGCCACACUGGAACUGAGACACGGUCCAGACUCCUACGGGAGGCAGCAGUGGGGAAUCUUGCGCAAUGGGCGAAAGCCUGACGCAGCAACGCCGCGUGUGUGAUGAAGGUCUUCGGAUCGUAAAGCACUGUCGGGAGGGACGAAUAAGGGCCGGGUGAACAAUCCGGUCUGACGACGGUACCUCCAGAGGAAGCACCGGCUAACUCUGUGCCAGCAGCCGCGGUAAUACAGAGGGUGCUAGCGUUGUUCGGAAUUAUUGGGCGUAAAGCGCGUGUAGGCGGCCGGCCAAGUCGGAUGUGAAAGCCCUCGGCUCAACCGAGGAAGUGCGUUCGAUACUAGCUGGCUUGAGUACCGGAGAGGGUGGUGGAAUUCCCGGUGUAGAGGUGAAAUUCGUAGAUAUCGGGAGGAACACCAGUGGCGAAGGCGACCACCUGGACGGAUACUGACGCUGAGACGCGAAAGCGUGGGUAGCAAACAGGAUUAGAUACCCUGGUAGUCCACGCUGUAAACGAUGAGCGCUAGGUGUUGCGGGUGUUGACCCCUGCAGUGCCGAAGCUAACGCAUUAAGCGCUCCGCCUGGGAAGUACGGUCGCAAGGCUAAAACUYCAAGGAAUUGACGGGGCCCGCMCAGCGGKGGAGCAUGGUGCUAUUCGACGCACGCGMRAACCUUACCUGGUCUUGACAUCUAGGACCCGCCAGARAUGGKKGGGUGCCCGCAAGAGCUAAARAACGGKGCUGCAUGGCCUGUCGUMGCYCGGUCUKGAAAKKUGGUAGUCGCCACUGGGCCAUCCCUAUCGUUAGUUGCAAWCAUCACUUGGACMYYUCUAGCGARACUC